rnacentral:rRNA from 1 species
GACGAACGCUGGCGGCGUGCCUAAUACAUGCAAGUCGAACGAGUGGCGGACGGGUGAGUAAUGUCUGGGAAACUGCCUGAUGGAGGGGGAUAACUACUGGAAACGGUAGCUAAUACCGCAUACCAUCAGAUGUGCGCAGCUGGGCGUAGCUUGUUGGUGGGGUAACGGCUCACCAAGGCGACGAUGCCUCGCUGGUCUGAGAGGAUGACCAGCCACACUGGCACUGAUACACGGUCCAGACGCCUACGGGAGGUAGCAGUGGGGAAUAUUGGACAAUGGGCGCAAUCGUGAUGCAGCCAUGCCGCUUGUAUGAAGAAGGCCUUCGGGUUGUAAAGUUCUUUAAGCGGGGAGGCGUUACCCGCAGAAGAAGCACCGGCUAACUCCGUGCCAGCAGCCGCGGUAAUAC